AGCGGUAGAGCACUGCCUUCACACGGCAGGGGUCACUGGUUCGAACCCAGUACCGCCCA
rfam:Gallionellales bacterium GWE2_58_10 gwe2_scaffold_3213, whole genome shotgun sequence.